ACCAGCCAUNCCGCGNNGCAGGAAGACGGCCUUAUGGGUUUGUAAACUGCUUUUUUAUGGGAGUAACCUCUCGUACGUGUACGAGACUGCAAGUACCAUAAGAAUAAGCAUCGGCUAACUCCNUGCCAGCAGCCGCGGUAAUA
rnacentral:rRNA from 1 species